UACGGGGGGGGCAAGCGUUGUUCGGAAUUACUGGGCGUAAAGGGCUCGUAGGUGGCCAACUAAGUCAGACGUGAAAUCCCUCGGCUUAACCGGGGAACUGCGUCUGAUACUGGAUGGCUUGAGUUCGGGAGAGGGACGCGGAAUUCCAGGUGUAGCGGUGAAAUGCGCAGAUAUCAGGAGGAACACCGGUGGCGAAGGCGGGUCUCUGGGCCGAUACUGACGCUGAGGAGCGAAAGCGUGGGGAGCGAACAGG
rnacentral:rRNA from 1 species